AGCUCCAAUAGCGUAUAUUAAAGUUGCUGCAGUUAAAAAGCUCGUAGUUGCAUUUCCGAGGCAAGGGAUUAGUCCGACCUUUGGUGGGUAUUUAAUCCUCUUGCCUCGUCCUUGAGUGGUGCUUCUUGGUAUUAAGUUAUCGAGGAGAUAGCCGCUCAUCGUUUACUGUGAGAAAAUUAGAGUGUUCAAAGCAGGCUUAUGCCGUUGAAUAUAUUAGCAUGGAAUAAUAAGAUAGGACCUCGGUACUAUUGUGGUGGUUUGAGAACCAAGGUAAUGAUGAAUAGGGACAGUUGGGGGUAUUCGUAUUCAGUUGUCAGAGGUGAAAUUCUUAGAUUUACUGAAGACGAACUACUGCGAAAGCAUUUACCAAGGAUGUUUUCA
rnacentral:rRNA from 1 species